GACGAACGCUGGCGGCGUGCUUAACACAUGCAAGUCGAACGGAAAGGCCCUGCUUUUGUGGGGUGCUCGAGUGGCGAACGGGUGAGUAACACGUGAGUAACCUGCCCUUGACUUUGGGAUAACUUCAGGAAACUGGGGCUAAUACCGGAUAGGAGCUCCGCCUCAAGGGUGGGGGUGGAAAAUUUUCGGCGGUUGGGGAUGGACUCGCGGCUUAUCAGCUUGUUGGUGGGGUAGUGGCUUACCAAGGCUUUGACGGGUAGCCGGCCUGAGAGGGUGACCGGCCACAUUGGGACUGAGAUACGGCCCAGACUCCUACGGGAGGCAGCAGUGGGGAAUAUUGCACAAUGGGCGGAAGCCUGAUGCAGCAACGCCGCGUGCGGGAUGACGGCCUUCGGGUUGUAAACCGCUUUCGCCUGUGACGAAGCGUGAGUGACGGUAAUGGGUAAAGAAGCACCGGCUAACUACGUG
rnacentral:rRNA from 1 species